rnacentral:sRNA from 1 species
AGUUAUUUAUCAGAGAGUCUGAUGCUGAAAGAGAACAGAACUUGCCUGUCACAGUUACUAGAUAUAAUGAAAAGCAUGAGAAACUUAGUAAAAAAGUAUGAACCACCCAGAUCUGAAGAAGUUGCUGUUCUGAAACAGAAGUUGGAGCGAUGUCAUUCUGCUGAGCUUGCACUUAACGUAAUCACGAAGAAGAGGAAAGGCUAUGAAGAUGAUGAUUACGUCUCAAAGAAAUCCAAACAUGAGGAGGAAGAAUGGACUGAUGACGACCUGGUAGAAUCUCUCUAACCAUUUGAAGUUGAUUUCUCAAUGCUAACUAAUCAAGAGAAGUAGGAAGCAUAUCAAACGUUUAACUUUAUUUAAAAAGUAUAAUGUGAAAACAUAAAAUAUAUUAAAACUUUUCUAUUGUUUUCUUUCCCUUUCACAGUAACUUUAUGUAAAAUAACCCAUCUUC